rnacentral:lncRNA from 1 species
CAAUGUUAUAAAAUCCUACGAGAGAGAAAGAAAUAUACACUAUUUCAGUCUUACCUAUAGAAACGGUUAUGGUUAAUGUAAUUGAUUACAGCGGUAUAUUUACGUAGGUAUUUUGCUUGUCGUGCGUGUGGUUUGGCGAGACUUUGUGUACCUUGGUGUGGCGUCGCGUAGUAAGUGUAUAGAAAAUACGUAAAAGUCGUUCCUGGUGAACCUUGUUACGAAAUACAAAAAUGUUGCUCACAAGAUAGUACAGUGGAAUGCUACUACCGCAAAACACUUCUGUCGAUCGACUAGAAUCGACCGUUCACUCGGCCAACAUAACCACCGAGAAGGCUACAACCACAGACGAGAUCUGCAACGAUGCAGAAAGGCGGAUUUCUAGGUCAUUCGGAUGCGGUUGCAUUGGGUGCUACAGUACGGAGCAUCGUGGAAACGUACCAAUGAACUCCACUGGAGCAGGAUGUCAGAAAUACAAAGAGUCAGGAGGGUCCCCCAGAACUGGCCUGCCCCACGAUCGACCGGCAAAACACGUCAGUUCUCGUGACCGCGAAACGCUGAUCGCGAGAUUUUCUUGCUCUCCAUUACCAACUGCUUCAUAGAGGCAA